CUGCGUCAGCGUACCAUGCAGUCGAGCGGUAGAGAGAAGCUUGCUUCUCUUGAGAGCGGCGGACGGGUGAGUAAUGCCUAGGAAUCUGCCUGGUAGUGGGGGAUAACGUUCGGAAACGGACGCUAAUACCGCAUACGUCCUACGGGAGAAAGCAGGGGACCUUCGGGCCUUGCGCUAUCAGAUGAGCCUAGGUCGGAUUAGCUAGUUGGGGAACCAAGGCGACGAUCCGUAACUGGUCUGAGAGGAUGAUCAGUCACACUGGAACUGAGACACGGUCCAGACUCCUACGGGAGGCAGCAGUGGGGAAUAUUGGACAAUGGGCGAAAGCCUGAUCCAGCCAUGCCGCGUGUGUGAAGAAGGUCUUCGGAUUGUAAAGCACUUUAAGUUGGGAGGAAGGGCCGUUACCUAAUACGUGAUGGUUUUGACGUUACCGACAGAAUAAGCACCGGCUAACUCUGUGCCAGCAGCCGCGGUAAUACAGAGGGUGCAAGCGUUAAUCGGAAUUACUGGGCGUAAAGCGCGCGUAGGUGGUUUGUUAAGUUGGAUGUGAAAUCCCCGGGCUCAACCUGGGAACUGCAUUCAAAACUGACUGACUAGAGUAUGGUAGAGGGUGGUGGAAUUUCCUGUGUAGCGGUGAAAUGCGUAGAUAUAGGAAGGAACACCAGUGGCGAAGGCGACCACCUGGACUGAUACUGACACUGAGGUGCGAAAGCGUGGGGAGCAAACAGGAUUAGAUACCCUGGUAGUCCACGCCGUAAACGAUGUCAACUAGCCGUUGGGAGCCUUGAGCUCUUAGUGGCGCAGCUAACGCAUUAAGUUGACCGCCUGGGGAGUACGGCCGCAAGGGUUAAAACUCAAUGAAUUGACGGGGGCCCGCACAAGCGGUGGAGCAUGGUGUUUAAUUCGAAGCACGCGAAGAACCUUACCAGGCCUUGACAUCAAUGAACUUUCUAGAAGAUAGAUGGUGCUCGGAACAUUGAAACGGUGCUUGCAUGGCUGUCGUCAGCUCGUGUCUGGAAUGUGGUAGUCCGUAACCGAGCGCACCUUGUCCUUAGUACCAGACCGUUAUGUGCACUCAGGAACUGCGGUACAAAACGGAAAGCAG
rnacentral:rRNA from 1 species